UACGAAGGGGGCUAGCGUUGCUCGGAAUCACUGGGCGUAAAGCGCACGUAGGCGGCUUUCUAAGUCAGGGGUGAAAUCCUGGAGCUCAACUCCAGAACUGCCUUCGAUACUGGGAGCUCGAGUCCGGGAGAGGUGAGUGGAACUGCGAGUGUAGAGGUGAAAUUCGUAGAUAUUCGCAAGAACACCAGUGGCGAAGGCGGCUCACUGGCCCGGUACUGACGCUGAGGUGCGAAAGCGUGGGGAGCAAACA
rnacentral:rRNA from 1 species